AACGAACGCUGGCGGCAUGCCUAACACAUGCAAGUCGAACGAUGCCUCCGGGCAUAGUGGCGCACGGGUGCGUAACGCGUGGGAAUCUGCCCUUGGGUUCGGAAUAACUCGCCGAAAGGCGAGCUAAUACCGGAUGAUGACGUAAGUCCAAAGAUUUAUCGCCCAAGGAUGAGCCCGCGUAGGAUUAGCUAGUUGGUGGGGUAAAGGCCCACCAAGGCGACGAUCCUUAGCUGGUCUGAGAGGAUGAUCAGCCACACUGGGACUGAGACACGGCCCAGACUCCUACGGGAGGCAGCAGUGGGGAAUAUUGGACAAUGGGCGAAAGCCUGAUCCAGCAAUGCCGCGUGAAUGAUGAAGGCCUUAGGGUUGUAAAGCUCUUUUACCCGGGAUGAUAAUGACAGUACCGGGAGAAUAAGCUCCGGCUAACUCCGUG
rnacentral:rRNA from 1 species